rnacentral:rRNA from 1 species
UGGGCAACCUACCUUAUAGUUUGGGAUAACUCCGGGAAACCGGGGCUAAUACCGAAUAAUCUGUUUCACCUCAUGGUGAAACACUGAAAGACGGUUUCGGCUGUCGCUAUAGGAUGGGCCCGCGGCGCAUUAGCUAGUUGGUGAGGUAACGGCUCACCAAGGCGACGAUGCGUAGCCGACCUGAGAGGGUGAUCGGCCACACUGGGACUGAGACACGGCCCAGACUCCUACGGGAGGCAGCAGUAGGGAAUCUUCCACAAUGGGCGAAAGCCUGAUGGAGCAACGCCGCGUGAGUGAAGAAGGAUUUCGGUUCGUAAAACUCUGUUGUAAGGGAAGAACAAGUACAGUAGUAACUGGCUGUACCUUGACGGUACCUUAUUAGAAAGCCACGGCUAACUACGUGCCAGCAGCCGCGGUAAUACGUAGGUGGCAAGCGUUGUCCGGAAUUAUUGGGCGUAAAGCGCGCGCAGGUGGUUUCUUAAGUCUGAUGUGAAAGCCCACGGCUCAACCGUGGAGGGUCAUUGGAAACUGGGAGACUUGAGUGCAGAAGAGGAUAGUGGAAUUCCAAGUGUAGCGGUGA